rnacentral:rRNA from 1 species
GACGAACGCUGGCGGCGUGCUUAACACAUGCAAGUCGAACGCUGAAGCUCAGCUUUUGUUGGGUGGAUGAGUGGCGAACGGGUGAGUAACACGUGAGUAACCUGCCUCCUUCUUUGGGAUAGCGCCCGGAAACGGGUGCUAAUACUGGAUAUUCACUGGUCUUCGCAUGGGGGUUGGUGGAAAGGGUUUUUCUGGUGGGGGAUGGGCUCGCGGCCUAUCAGCUUGUUGGUGGGGUGAUGGCCUACCAAGGCUUUGACGGGUAGCCGGCCUGAGAGGGUGACCGGUCACAUUGGGACUGAGAUACGGCCCAGACUCCUACGGGAGGCAGCAGUGGGGAAUAUGGCACAAUGGGCGCAAGCCUGAUGCAGCGACGCCGCGUGAGGGAUGGAGGCCUUCGGGUUGUGAACCUCUUUCGCUCAUGGUCAAGCCGCAACAAUGGUUGUGGUGAGGGUAGUGGGUAAAGAAGCGCCGGCUAACUACGUG